rnacentral:rRNA from 1 species
ACUAGAGUAGCACUCGCAUAUCAAUAAGCGGAGGAAAAGAAACUAACAAGGAUUCCCCUAGUAACGGCGAGUGAAGCGGGAAGAGCUCAAAUUUGAAAUCUUAAAGGGUUUCCCUUUACGAAUUGUAGUUUAAAGAAGUGUUUUCUGUUGAGGUUUUGGUAAAAGUUCUUUGGAAUAGGACAUCAUAGAGGGUGAGAAUCCCGUAUUUGACCUUUACUUUCAACUUUGUGAUACACUUUCAAAGAGUCGGAUUGUUUGGGAAUGCAGUCCAAAAUGGGUGGUAAAUUUCAUCUAAAGGCUAAAUAUUGGCGAGAGACCGAUAGCGAACAAGUACCGUGAGGGAAAGAUGAAAAGAACUUUGAAAAGAGAGUUAAACAGUACGUGAAAUCGUCAAAAGGGAAGCGUUUGACACCAGUGUUGUUUUUCUGAAAAUCAAUUAAAGAACUGUUUAUGCUAAGCUGUUUAGACUUUAUCAGCUAUCUGCUUAGUUUUGAGCCUUUUCUUUAAUGCACUUUUCAGUUAACAAGUCAACAUCAAUUUCUUUUGCUGUAAAAAAGCUUGAGGAAGGUGGCUUGAGAUUCGUCUUAAGUGUUUAUAGCCUCUUGCCUAUGCAGUCGGAGAGAUUGAGGUCUGCAGCGUAGAUCCUUCGGGGCUAAAUGCAUUUGUGCUAAGUUAUAGCAUUUUAUAGACAACUUGUUGACUAUGAUUUGUCUUGUAGCUUACUCGCUUAUGUUAUUUUACCUACGCUUAGGAUGUUGAACUCUAUCACACACAG